AGAGUUUGAUCCUGGCUCAGGAUGAACGCUGGCGGUCUGCUUAACACAUGCAAGUCGAACGGGCUCUUCGGAGCUAGUGGCGGACGGGUGAGUAACGCGUGAGAAUCUGCCUUCAGGUUGGGGACAACAGUUGGAAACGACUGCUAAUACCCAAUGUGCCGAGAGGUGAAAGCUUUAGUGCCUGAAGAUGAGCUCGCGUCUGAUUAGCUAGUUGGUGGGGUAAUGGCCUACCAAGGCGACGAUCAGUAGCUGGUCUGAGAGGAUGACCAGCCACACUGGGACUGAGACACGGCCCAGACUCCUACGGGAGGCAGCAGUGGGGAAUUUUCCGCAAUGGGCGCAAGCCUGACGGAGCAAGACCGCGUGAGGGAGGAAGGCUCUUGGGUUGUAAACCUCUUUUAUCAGGGAAGAAGAUCUGACGGUACCUGAUGAAUCAGCAUCGGCUAACUCCGUGCCAGCAGCCGCGGUAAUACGGAGGAUGCAAGCGUUAUCCGGAUUUAUUGGGCGUAAAGCGUCCGCAGGUGGUUUUUCAAGUCUGCUGUUAAAGCGCGAGGCUUAACCUCGUAACGGCGGUGGAAACUGAGAGACUAGAGUAUGGUAGGGGUAGCGGGAAUUCCCAGUGUAGCGGUGAAAUGCGUAGAUAUUGGGAAGAACACCAGCGGCGAAAGCGCGCUACUGGGCCAUAACUGACACUCAUGGACGAAAGCUAGGGGAGCGAAAGGGAUUAGAUACCCCUGUAGUCCUAGCUGUAGACGAUGGGUACUAGGUGUUGACCGAAUCGACCCGGUCAGUGCCGUAGCUAACGCGUUAAGUACCCCGCCUGGGGAGUAUGCACGCAAGUGUGAAACUCAAAGGAAUUGACGGGGGCCCGCACAAGCGGUGGAGUAUGUGGUUUAAUUCGAUGCAACGCGAAGAACCUUACCAGGGCUUGACAUGUCGCGAAUCCCGGUGAAAGUCGGGAGUGCCUUCGGGAGCGCGAACACAGGUGGUGCAUGGCUGUCGUCAGCUCGUGUCGUGAGAUGUUGGGUUAAGUCCCGCAACGAGCGCAACCCUCGUUUUUAGUUGCCAUCAUUUAGUUGGGCACUCUAGAGAGACUGCCGGUGACAAACCGGAGGAAGGUGGGGAUGACGUCAAGUCAGCAUGCCCCUUACGUCCUGGGCUACACACGUACUACAAUGCUUCGGACAAAGGGUUGCGAGCUAGCGAUAGCAAGCUAAUCCCGUAAACCGAGGCUCAGUUCAGAUUGCAGGCUGCAACUCGCCUGCAUGAAGGAGGAAUCGCUAGUAAUCGCAGGUCAGCAUACUGCGGUGAAUACGUUCCCGGGCCUUGUACACACCGCCCGUCACACCAUGGGAGUUGGCCACGCCCGAAGUCGUUACUCCAACCGCUUGCGGAGGAGGAUGCCGAAGGCAGGGCUGAUGACUGGGGUGAAGUCGUAACAAGGUA
rnacentral:rRNA from 1 species